rnacentral:tRNA from 1 species
GAGGAUAUAGCUCAGUGGUAGAGCCCAUGCUUAGCAUGUAUGAGGUCCUGGGUUCAAUUCCCAGCACCUCCA